rnacentral:rRNA from 1 species
AGCGAACGCUGGCGGCAGGCUUAACACAUGCAAGUCGAACGCCCCGCAAGGGGAGUGGCAGACGGGUGAGUAACGCGUGGGAAUCUACCCAGAUCUACGGAACAACAGUUGGAAACGACUGCUAAUACCGUAUACGCCCUACGGGGGAAAGAUUUAUCGGAUUUGGAUGAGCCCGCGUAAGAUUAGCUAGUUGGUGGGGUAAUGGCCUACCAAGGCGACGAUCUUUAGCUGGUCUGAGAGGAUGAUCAGCCACACUGGGACUGAGACACGGCCCAGACUCCUACGGGAGGCAGCAGUGGGGAAUAUUGGACAAUGGGCGCAAGCCUGAUCCAGCCAUGCCGCGUGAGUGAUGAAGGCCUUAGGGUUGUAAAGCUCUUUCAGUAGGGAAGAUAAUGACGGUACCUACAGAAGAAGCCCCGGCUAACUUCGUGCCAGCCGCCGCGGUAACAC